GCCAAAGUGCAAGGAAAAUAGAAGUUCUCAUUUAAAAAGUCAUUUAAAACCAUACAAUUAAAUGGAAAUUAAACAACAUGUUCCUGAAUGACUUUUGGGUAAAGAAUGAAAUUAAGGCAGAAAUCAAAAAGUUAUUUGAAACCAACAAGAACAAAGAUACAACAUACAGAAUCUCUGGUACACAGCUAAAUCAGUAUUUGGGGGAAAU